UUAACUCAAAUUUGUUUGGAGUUAGAACGUUUGCCUACUUUUCCCGCUAAGGGCGCUGUUGCAACUGCAUACAAAUUUGAGUUU
rnacentral:pre_miRNA from 1 species